rnacentral:rRNA from 1 species
CCUACGGGAGGCAGCAGUGAGGAAUAUUGGUCAAUGGACGAGAGUCUGAACCAGCCCAGUAGCGUGAAGGAUGACUGCCCUAUGGGUUGUAAACUUCUUUUAUAUGGGAAUAAAACAGGGUAUGCAUACCCUCUUGUAUGUACCAUAUGAAUAAGGAUCGGCUAACUCCGUUCCAGCAGCCGCGGUAAUACGGAAGAUCCGAGCGUUAUCCGGAUGUAUUGGGUUUAAAGGGAUGGUAGGGGGGUUGUUAAGUGAGUUGUGAAAGUUUGCGGCUAAAACGUAAAAUUGCAGUUGAAACUGGCAGUGUUGAGUACAGGAGAGGUAGGCGGAAUGCGUGGUGUAGCGGUGAAAUGCGUAGAUAUCACGAAGAACUCCGAUUGCGAAGGCAGCACACUGGAGUGCAACUGACACUGAUGCUCGAAAGUGUGGGUAUCAAACAGGAUUAGAUACCCCUGUAGUC